GGAUAGUUCAGUUGGUAGAGAAUGAGAAGCUUAAUCUCAAGGUCUUAGGUUCAAGCCCCACGUAGGGCAACA